CAGCCGCCGCGGUAAUACGGAGGGGGCUAGCGUUGUUCGGAAUUACUGGGCGUAAAGCGCACGUAGGCGGCUUUGUAAGUUAGAGGUGAAAGCCCGGGGCUCAACUCCGGAAUUGCCAUUAAGACUGCAUCGCUUGAAUCGCGGAGAGGUGAGUGGAAUUCCGAGUGUAGAGGUGAAAUUCGUAGAUAUUCGGAAGAACACCAGUGGCGAAGGCGGCUCACUGGACGCGUAUUGACGCUGAGGUGCGAAAGCGUGGGGAGCAAACAGGAUUAGAUACCCCCGUAGUCCCUGUCUCUUAUAC
rnacentral:rRNA from 1 species